rnacentral:rRNA from 1 species
CCUACGGGAGGCAGCAGUAGGGAAUUUUCCGCAAUGGGCGAAAGCCUGACGGAGCAAUACCGCGUGAGGGAUGACGGCCUGUGGGUUGUAAACCUCUUUUCUCAAGGAAGAAGUUCUGACGGUACUUGAGGAAUAAGCAUCGGCUAACUCUGUGCCAGCAGCCGCGGUAAUACAGAGGAUGCAAGCGUUAUCCGGAAUCACUGGGCAUAAAGCGUCUGUAGGUUGUUUAGUAAGUCUGCUGUUAAAGACUGGGGCUUAACCCCAGAAAAGCAGUGGAAACUGCUAGACUCGAGUGUGGUAGAGGUAGAGGGAAUUCCUAGUGUAGCGGUGAAAUGCGUAGAUAUUAGGAAGAACACCAAUGGCGAAGGCACUCUACUGGGCCAUAACUGACACUGAGAGACGACAGCUAGGGGAGCAAACGGGAUUAGAUACCCCGGUAGUCCUAGCCGUAAACGAUGGAUACUAGAUGUUGCACGUAUUAACCCGUGCAGUAUCGUAGCUAAGGCGUUAAGUAUCCCGCCUGGGAAGUCGCGUCGCGAGAGAGAACGUACUAAUAGUAAGUUAGUUACGGUCGUUGAGACGUUGCCGACGGACGACGACGAGGGAGGAGG